rnacentral:rRNA from 1 species
CCUACGGGCGGCAGCAGUGAGGAAUAUUGGUCAAUGGGCGCGAGCCUGAACCAGCCAAGUCGCGUGAGGGAAGACGGUCCUAUGGAUUGUAAACCUCUUUUGUCGGGGAGCAAAAGACGCUACGCGUGGCGUUCCGAGAGUACCCUAAGAAAAAGCAUCGGCUAACUCCGUGCCAGCAGCCGCGGUAAUACGGAGGAUGCGAGCGUUAUCCGGAUUUAUUGGGUUAAAGGGGUGCGCAGGCGGAAGUUCAAGUCAGCGGGAAAAUUCCGGGGCCAAACCUCGUCGAGCCGUUGAAACUGGUUUUCUUGAGUGAGCGAGAAGUAUGCGGAAUGCGUAGUGUAGCGGUGAAAUGCUUAGAUAUUGCGCAGAACUCCGAUUGCGAAGGCAGCCUACCGGCGGCGAUCUGACGCUGAGGCACGAAAGCGUGGGUAUCGAACAGGAUUAGAUACCCUAGUAGUC